GAGAGGAGGAGUUACAGCUGAGAAGAUAAUUUCUGUGAAUAACUCAAGGGCCCCAUUCCAAUACUCUACAAAUACAUCCUUCCUUCCCACGGGCCCCAUUCCAAUACUCUACAAAUACAUCCUUCCUUCCCACGGGCCCCAUUCCAAUACUCUACAAAUACAUCCUUCCUUCCCACGGGCCCCAUUCCAAUACUCUACAAAUACAUCCUUCCUUCCCACGGGCCCCAUUCCAAUACUCUACAAAUACAUCCUUCCUUCCCACGGGUCCCAUUCCAAUACUCUACAAAUACAUCCUUCCUUCCCACGGGCCCCAUUCCAAUACUUUACAAAUACAUCCUUCCUUCCCACGGGCCCCAUUCCAAUACUCUACAAAUGCAUCCUUCCUUCCCACGGGCCCCAUUCCAAUACUCUACAAAUACAGCCUUCCUUCUAUUCAUGCACAUCUCUCCAGGUUUCCCACGUUGAGCCAACAUUAUAACAUUACAUUAUAACACAUUGUCUUUAAAACACGUCAAAACCUAAGUUCUACUCUACAGGUGACAGUGAAGGGCAGUAAGGACCUUGUUUACACAAAGCUCUUGGAAUGGGGGGAGGAGGGGUGAGGGAGGAGGGACAGAGAUAGAGGAAAGGGGUGAGGAGGGACAGAGGGUGAGGAGGGGUGAGGUAGGAGGGACAGAGGGUGAGGAGGGGUGAGGGAGGAGGGACAGAGAUGGAGGGGUGAGGUAGGAGGGACAGAGGGUGAGGAGGGGUGAAGUAGGAGGGACAGAGGGUGAGGAGGGUUGAGGGAGGAGGGACAGAGGGUGAGGAGGGGUGAGGUAGGAGGGACAGAGGGUGAGGAGGGGUGAGGUAGGAGGGACAGAGAUGGGGGAAAGGGGUGAGGAGUGAUGAGGUAGGAGGAACAGAGGGUGAGGAGGGGUGAGGGAUGGGGUGAGGGCAGGUAGAUGUACAGACAACAUCCUUUUUUUUAAAGAGUUUCAGGUGAGAAAGAUGAGAAGAACAGGAAGUGACAGACUGGUAUGAAGAAGUAAAAGAUGAGAAGGACAGGAAGUGACAGACUGGUAUGAAGAAGUAAAAGAUGAGAAGGACAGGAAGUGACAGACUGGUAUUAAGGAGUAAAAGAUGAGAAGGACAGGAAGUGACAGACUGGUAUGAAGAAGUAAAAGAGAAGAAGGAAGCACCAAUUAUAUAACAUAUACCAUCUAAGAGUUAAAUAUUACUCCAGGUUAAAGUUAACCUCCUAACCACAAAAUCUAAGAUCAGCUGUCCUCGGGUUUGAAAUAUUCCUCCUGUAAACUUUCCCAUGAAAUCUCCACUUUCACAGAAAUC
rnacentral:lncRNA from 1 species